GAUGAACGCUGGCGGCGUGCCUAAUACAUGCAAGUCGAGCGAACGGACGAGAAGCUUGCUUCUCUGAUGUUAGCGGCGGACGGGUGAGUAACACGUGGAUAACCUACCUAUAAGACUGGGAUAACUUCGGGAAACCGUAGCUAAUACCGGAUAAUAUUUUGAACCGCAUGGUUCAAAAGUGAAAGACGGUCUUGCUGUCACUUAUAGAUGGAUCCGCGCUGCAUUAGCUAGUUGGUAAGGUAACGGCUUACCAAGGCAACGAUGCAUAGCCGACCUGAGAGGGUGAUCGGCCACACUGGAACUGAGACACGGUCCAGACUCCUACGGGAGGCAGCAGUAGGGAAUCUUCCGCAAAGGGCGAAAGCCUGACGGAGCAACGCCGCGUGAGUGAUGAAGGUCUUCGGAUCGCAAAACUCUGUUAUUAGGGAAGAACAUAUGUGUAAGUAACUGUGCACAUCUUGACGGUACCUAAUCAGAAAGCCACGGCUAACUACGUG
rnacentral:rRNA from 1 species